GUCCGUUGCUCGGUGGUGAGAGCGUCCGACCGGUUGUAUGGGAAAGUCAUGGGUUCGAUUCCCGUCGGGACUCA